UUAGAGUUCAUUUCGCAGUGGUGUUGGGAGAAACCCUCUUUUCGUCUCACUUUUCACGCCCUAUCGACCCGAUGGUACGGUGAGAGAGCUCGUGAAGCUCGAAACGUCGCCGUUUUUGGUCAAGAGAAUGGAUCAGAAGCGUCAGCAGCAGCUCAGGGACGUCGGAUCGAAGCUCGAGAACCCUCCGGCCACCAAAGACGCUCUCGUUAAGCUCUUAAAGCAAGCUGCAACAUGUUUAACUGAGUUGGAUCAAUCACCGUCAGCAUCAAUUUUGGAAUCACUGCAGCCUUCUCUGAAUGCAAUUGUCAAGCCAGAACUGCUGAAACACCAAGAUAGGGAUGUUAAGCUUCUCGUUGCAACAUGUAUUUGUGAGAUAACCCGGAUUACAGCACCUGAGGCUCCUUAUAGUGAUGAUGUUCUGAAGGAUAUCUUUCGCUUGAUUGUGAGCACUUUUAGUGGGUUAAGUGAUACAAAUGGUCCAGCAUUUGGAAGGAGAGUUGUUAUCUUGGAGACUCUAGCAAGAUAUAGGUCAUGUGUUGUGAUGUUGGAUCUUGAGUGUGAUGAUCUAGUGAAUGAAAUGUUCCGUACAUUUUUUUCUGUUGCAAGGGAUGAUCAUCCUGAAAGUGUCCUAACAUCAAUGCAAACUAUCAUGGUUGUUCUCUUGGAAGAGAGUGAGGAUGUUCGGGAAGAUCUUUUAUUUUCUAUCCUGUCUAUUUUAGGUUGCAAUAAGAGUGAUGUUACGACAGCUGCAAGGAAGCUUGCUAUGAAUGUUAUAGAGCAUUGUGCAGCAAAACUUGAACCUGGCAUAAAACAGUUUCUGGUGUCAUCGAUUUCAGGAGAUAACAGGUCGAUGAACAGCGAAAUUGACUACCAUGAAGUUAUCUAUGACAUUUAUCGUUGUGCUCCUCAGAUCCUAUCGGGAGUUACUCCCUACCUCACAGGAGAGCUAUUGACAGAUAAUUUAGAUACUCGUUUGAAAGCGGUGAAAUUAGUUGGAGACCUGUUUGCUUUGCCGGGUUUGGCUAUUUCUGAAGCAUUUCAACCUAUAUUUUCGGAGUUUUUGAAGAGGUUGGCUGAUAGAGUAGUUGGGGUUCGUAUGUCUGUCCUUGAACAUGUCAAAAGUUGUCUGCUGUCCAAUCCUUCUAGAGCCGAGGCUCCUCAGAUCAUUUCUGCACUUUGUGACCGGCUGUUAGAUUAUGAUGAAAAUGUUCGGAAACAAGUUGUUGCUGUAAUUUGUGAUGUGGCCUGUCACUCCCUAAGUUCCAUCCCAGUUGAAACUGCAAAGCUAGUUGCUGAGCGUCUCCGAGACAAAUCUGUACUUGUUAAAAAGUAUACCCUAGAGAGGCUGGCUGAGAUCUACAAUCUUUAUUGCUUGAGAUGUUGUGAUGGCUCACUGAAUCCCAGUGAAUUUGAUUGGAUUCCUGGGAAGAUUCUAAGAUGUUUUUAUGAUAAAGAUUUCAGAUCAGAUACAAUUGAAUCGGUCCUGUGUGAGACCCUGUUUCCAACCGAAUUCUCAAUCAAAGAUAAGGUUAAACAUUGGGUAAGAGUUUUCUCAGGGUUUGACAAAGUUGAGGUCAAGGCUCUUGAAAAGAUACUGGAGCAGAAACAAAGGUUGCAACAAGAGAUGCAGAGGUAUCUGUCUCUUAAGCAGAUGCAUCAGGAUGGUGAAGGUCCUGAGAUCCAGAAAAAGGUCACCUACUGCCUCAGAAUUAUGUCUCGCUUGUUUGCUGACCCUGCAAAGGCUGAGGAGAAUUUUCAGAUACUUGAUCAAUUAAAAGAUGUUAACAUUUGGAAGAUUUUAUCAAGUUUAAUUGAUCCAAAGACUAGUUUCCAUCAAGCUUGUUCCUCUCGGGAUGAUUUGCUUAGGAUUCUUGGUGAGAAACACCGUCUGUAUGAUUUCUUAGGCACACUCUCUUUGAAGUGCUCUUAUUUACUUUUCAACAAGGAGCAUGUGAAAGAAUUCCUUCUGGAGGCUGCCAUUCAAAAAUCUUCUGGAAACACCCAAUAUAUUCAAUCUUGCAUGAAUGUAUUAGUGGUUCUUGCACGCUUCAGUCCGUUGCUACUGAGUGGGGCUGAAGAAGAUCUAGUUCAUCUUCUGAAAGAUGACAAUGAAAUAAUAAAAGAAGGUGUUUUACAUAUUCUAGCAAAAGCUGGUGGAACCAUCCGAGAACAACUGGCUGUGACAUCCAGUUCAGUGGAUCUUAUAUUGGAAAGGCUAUGUCUAGAAGGUAGUCGGAGACAAGCCAAGUAUGCUGUACAUGCGCUUGCAGCAAUAACAAAGGAUGAUGGGCUCAAGUCACUCUCUGUUUUAUACAAGAGGCUUGUGGAUAUGCUGGAUAAGAAGACGCAUUUGCCUGCUGUCCUACAGUCUCUUGGGUGCAUAGCACAGACUGCAAUGCCAGUUUUCGAGACUAGAGAGAGUGAGAUUGAAGGAUUUAUAAAAUGCGAAAUUCUAAAGUGUAGUAGUAAAGCAGAAGAUAAUGCAAAAGCAUGUUGGGAUGAUAGAAGUGAGCUUUGUCUAUUGAAGAUAUUUGGAAUCAAAACAAUGGUCAAGAGCUACUUGCCUGUCAAAGAUGCACAUCUUCGGCUUGGGAUUGAUGACCUUCUGGAAAUCCUUAAAAACAUUCUUUUGUUUGGAGAGAUUUCGGAAGAUAUAGAAUCAAGUGCAGUUGAUAAAGCCCAUUUGAGGCUUGCAGCUGCAAAGGCAAUUCUUCGUCUGGCUAGGCACUGGGAUCAUAAGAUACCUGUUGGUGUCUUUCACCUGACCUUGAAAACAUCAGAGAGUACUUUUCCUCAAGCAAAGAAACUGUUCCUGAGCAAAGUUCAUCAAUACAUAAAGGACCGCCUUUUGGAUGCAAAAUAUGCUUGUGCCUUCUCAUUUAACAUUGUUGGAUCCCAACCAUCUGAGUUUGAAGAGGACAAACACAACCUGGGUGAUAUCAUCCAAAUGUAUCAUCAAACCAAGGCACGGCAACUUUCUACACAGUCUGAUGCAAGCUCCCUGGCUUAUCCUGAAUUCAUACUCCCAUACUUGGUCCAUGCCCUUGCUCAUCAUUCUUGUCCUGAUAUCGAUGAAUGCAAGGAUGUCAAAGCAUUUGAACCAAUAUACUGGAAACUGCAUAUAUUUCUUUCUAUGCUGGUGCAUGGAGAUGAAGAUACCAAGGCAGAAGCUGGCGCUGACAAGGAAAAGGAGGGUAUUUCUGCGAUAAUCUCUAUCUUUCAAAGUAUCAAGCUCUCAGAAGAUAUAGUUGAUGCAGGAAAGUCAAAGAAUUCCCAUGCUCUUUGUGACCUUGGGCUGUCGAUCAUCAAGCGGUUAGUUCAAAAACAGGAUGAUGUUCAAGGGUUGACUUCAUCAAUCACUCUACCUCCAAUGCUGUACAAACUGUGUGAAAAGAAAGAGGGGGAUGAUUCUGUGGCCAGUGAAGGGCAAACGUGGCUGGCUGAUGAGAGUGUGUUGACCCACUUUGAAUCUCUUAAGUUAGAAACUAAUGGAAUGGUUGAUGAAGAAGGGGUCAUAAACGACAAUGAUAGAGAUGGAAAUGAAUUGCCGCUGGGGAAAAUGAUAAAACGCUUGAAAUCUAGGGGAACCAAAUCAAGAAAAGUGAAGAACAAGAAGUCUUCACCAGCUAAGAAGAAACAUGCUGAAAACGAUGUUGAUAUCUUGAAAAUGGUGAGGGAAAUAAAUUUUGAUGCUAUGGGAAUGUCUAGUAAAUUUGAAUCAAGCAAUGGUCAUGAAUAUUCGUCACAUAGAAAAGCAAAAAUGGGUCAGAAACAUGAAAAGAAGAAAAGAAGAAGAUCCGGUGAAGUAACACCAGUUACAGUACCUAAACGGCGUAGAUCAUCAUCUGCUAAAUCGUCUCUCCCAAGGAGUGCUUCAAAAGGUUCUGUAAGAGCUUUGCGUGAUAAUUUGCAUCAGGCAGGGGUAUCUUCAUUUCAGUCCACUGAUAUGGAUUCAGAAGUUCACACUGAUUCAGAGGAUAAAGCGUCUGCAUUGAAAAAUAUAGGCGAACCUGCUGAGUCAGACUUGUUGGUAUCAUGCUUCCGAAGGAAUUCAAACUUCUUAUCAAAACGCAAAGGAAAAGGCUCUGACAAGGGUGAUAAUGAUGAGGCUCGUAUUGUUGGAGAAGAUGAAGAUCAUGAUUUGAGGGAGCCUAAUGUGCCAAUGGAGACUGAUAAGAUCCAUACAGCAAGUAAUGUCAAGUCCCCCACAGGAUCUACCAAGAAGCGGAAAAGAAGAAGCAUUGCAGGAUUGGCAAAGUGCACAUCAAAGGAAGGGAGGAGUCAUGCUGCAGACUUGAUUGAUUGCAGAAUAAAAGUUUGGUGGCCAAUGGAUAAGCAGUUUUAUGAAGGUGUAGUGAAAUCUUAUGACCCUAAAGCAAGAAAACAUGUGGUAUUAUAUGAUGAUGGGGAUGUGGAAGUGCUUCGUUUAGGCAGGGAACGCUGGGAGCUUGUUGAAAAUGUUGCAAAGCCUGCUAAGAAGUUGAAUUCAUCAAAGACCCCACCUUCUAAAGGAGUAUCAGCUGACCAGAAAAAUAAGUUUUUGAAUGGUUCACAACAGAACAAGAAACCAAUUAAAUCCUCAUCCUCUAAAGUAAGAGGCAAAAGAACUCCAAGGAAAAAUUUGAAGCAUGUAGAGAAGGCUGGGUUAGAGAGUAACACUGCUACUGAAUUUUGUGAAGUUGAGAGCAGAGGGAGCUCUGAUGUAUCAAAUCCAGAACCUAAUGCAAUGUCCAAAGUUGAAGAUAUGAACUCAGGUGAUUCAGAAGAGAAACUGAAUGAAAGAUCGGAGAAGGGUCUUACUGGUGGGGAAGAAUCUGACAAGGAUGAGAAAUCAGUUUCGGAAGGGAAACAGGUGGAGGAUAAGGAGAAGAGGCCAAGUGAUACAGAGGAAUCAGAGAAGGAAGAAAAACCUUAUUCUGAGGGGAGACCUGUUGAGGAUAAGGAGGGCAUCUGCCAAGAUGCUCAGGAAUCCCCUGAAAAAAGGGAAUCUUAUUCAGAAGAGAGAAAACCAGAAGAAUCAAAAAGAGACUCACCUUCUGGUGAGGAAGCCAACAAAGAAGAGCAAUCAGAUUCUGAAGAGACUCAAGCAGAAAAUUUGGAGAGUAAUCCAACAGAUGUGGAUAAAUCUAGCAAGAAAACUUCAGAUCCUUCAAACACCGAGGAUGCCAAAAAUUCUGAUGAUGAGCCUCUUAGCAUGUGGAAGCGUCGAGUAGGAAAACCAGUCUAGAGUGCUGAUGAGUUUAGCAGUAAGGUCAUUAUACCCUGCCCCUCUCGUAAUAAUUCACAAAGCUGUGGUGUCAUGGUGAAUCCCCAGCUGAGGGUGAGAGAAGAUGAAUACCACAUAUGAUCUUAACUAUGCCUCACUAAUAAAUUGUAUGGUGGCCUACUGCAGCAUGUUGUAUGUAACAGUUGGCAUACCCAUGACGAUGCUAGAACAUUGGUGGAAUCCUGUAUGUGACCCCCCCCUGUAACUGAUGAAUGGUUUGCACCAGUCUCACCAAUGACUAUGGAUGAUGGAUUAUGGGUCUCAUGUACAGUCAUAGUUAACAUACACUGUAAUGCCUUCUCUCCCUCACUCUGUGUUGCUUUCUCUCAAUCUUUAGUGGAUCAUCGACUGAAUUUAAUAGAGCAGGUGGGGACUCACCAGUCAUCCAAUACGCUAAAAGAUAUAUUGUCUGAAUUUGACAACAGCGAAUUGCAGAAGAAUGAGUGGCCUGUUGGUGUGGUGGCACAUGGGGCCUCAGUUGAAUAAAGGUGGUGUUGGAAUUAUGAUAAGGAAACAGGUCAAGGUCAUGGGUGGGAAGGUGACGAUUGGGCAGACAAAUGAAGAAGAAAUGUUAUGAAAUGUGUGUUAUGAUGUUUGAAUAAUGGAGAAUGGUCUUCUGUUUUGAUUUGUGUAGAAACCAGGCCAUGGUCGAUAAUACGGACGUAUGAUUUUGGAUGGAUGUGAUUGUACCUCUUUUGGGAUAAAAUUAAUCCUUGGGCUGGUUUCCUUUGGAUCAA